rnacentral:misc_RNA from 1 species
ACAAAACAGUGCAGUGCUAUUUAUGAAAAAUAAUUUAUUUGUGGAAAUGACCAAGGAAAUUCAUAAAUGGUAAUUAUUUUUACACACAAUAACAAUAACAUCAAUGGUUUUGAUUUUGAAAAGAUGACAGGAUUCUUAACUAAACAUAUCAAUACAUGUAUUGUUCUAUACAUGUCUAUAUCAUUAACAACUUUGUACAAAAAUCAUAACGUAGAUGGUAUAAAUUGUUUGUACAAAAUGUCAUUGUUGUUAUUUUUUUUAAACAACCCUUUAACAAUUUUUGGAAUUUAAAUCCCUGUACACAAUUAUAGAAGUAUAAAACUGUGUCACAGUGAUUUAUUCUUUUUUUUCUGCUGAUUUCUCCAAACAGAAUAUGCCUUGCAUGGGCAAAUUACCAUUUUCAUUGUAAAUCCAUUUUUCAUUUUUUGGAGAAAACUUUGAAACUACUGUGUAGUGAAUACAGGGGUAUAUAUAAGUAUAGCAUGUUCUGAUUGAUGAAAGUUAAAUUAUUAGUAUAUAAUUAGCUUGUUCUUUUUUUUUAACAUUUCCAGACUUUUUAAAAAAAAUAAUAAACGAAAUGUAUGGUAUGAUCAUCUGUAAAUUUCAUUUCAACGUUAUGCUGAAAAUUAUUGUUUAUGGAAUUUAUGGAAAUAUAAUUACUAUAUUGUGUUUAAUGUGAGAUGCACAAAUAUGUGGAUGUCCCACAGACUUUUUCAGAGAAGUGGAUAGGUAUGGCCAUCCAUUAUAGAUGAAUGGAAGGCUAUGGCCUAAACAAAAUGUCAGUGCACAAAUAAUGCAAGAAAAAAUGUGUCAUGCAUUUUGAUUAGUUAAGUUCUUUUCAAGAUGAAAGGUUUUGGUGUUACAAAUUUAAAGACGGCAUGAAAGAUUUGAUGUUUAAGUGAAGUUUGAAUGUGUGAAUACAUUUGUAAAUAUGUAUAAACAGCAAUUAUAUGUACAUACAUGUAUUUGAAAACCAAUUAAAAGGGUAAAAUGUGC